CGGAUGAAUCACCCUCAUGUGAAGAAGGAAAUGUGAAAGAUACUUGCAUUCAAACACUCCCUUGUUUUAUUGAAAUUCAAGAUGUAAUGAAUAGUAACCCUCAACAAGUAGUGACCAUGACAUUGAGAAAUCAUAAGUUCAAUGCUAACUCUGAGAGUUGUAAGGUUCUAGCUGCAUUCUCAGAUUAUGGUAAACGUCAAAGAGUUCAUGAAAAUAAUAAAGCAACAACAGUUGGUUCUGGGACAAACCAUUCCAAGUAUAUCACAAAUUUCAUUGCACGUCACAAUUCACAUAUCAGACGGGACAAGACUUGUCGAAGAGAGAAAGUUUCUUGUUCUGAAUGUGGAAAAUGUUUCGCUAAAUCAAAACUUACACGUCACAAGAGGAUUCAUACAGGAGAGAGACCAUUUUGUUGUUUAGAAUGUGGGAAAAGAUUUAAUCAGAAAUCAAACCUUACAGUUCACCUGAAAAUUCACACAGGAGAGAAACCAUUUUCAUGUUCUGAGUGUGGGAUUAAAAUGACUGCGAAGGCCUCUCUUAAAAAGCAUCAGGCAUCACACAAGAAAUAAACUAUUUCCUUUCCUCUAUCGGAGCUCAAAGUGUCCAUUCAGUGGUGAGUGGAAGUUGAGCCCCUGUUGUCGUUUAAAUGUGGGCAUGUUCCCCAGAGUUGCAGUUUAUAUGCAUCAUUUCAUUUGUGAGACAGGAGCAAUAUGUGCGUCUCACUCUGUACACAACUCUAUCUCCCUGCAGGACAAAACAAGAAAAUGAUAGAGUGCAGAAAUACAUCCUGUGUUUUGUUGUUUAAAGCUUUUAUUGAACUUUUUAUAACAUGACAUGAGUUUGUGGGUAUUCGGAACACCUUCAGUAUAAUGAGUAAAUGCAGCACAAAAAAUUUAGGAGGAGGGGAAAUGGAGAGAGAAACAAAGAGGGGAAAAAAAUGUAUGAUAUAACUGCGAUGCUCUAUGUGCAAAGCUACCAUGGAAAUGAGUAGCCUCAAUUCGCUCCCCUAAGAUACCCUGAGCGAAAUCUCCAGGAACGCUCACUCACAAUGCGAAUAGGUUCAUAUUCAUUCCAGGUAAAGCGAAAUGGUUUAAUUUGUAGCAUUAGCAAGCUUUUCUGUUUAAAGUAUAUGCUAAAUUUGGGCGUCCGCUUUGGAAAGAACGGUUAUCUUACACUUUUUGAAUUAUAUUCUUAAAGCAGCACUUAGUCAGAGAAUGAGUUUGUGGGUGUUCGGAUCACCUUGAGUAUAGUCUUGAUUAAGGAGAGGGACCCAUAUCCCCUCUCGGGGGUCAGUUGCACAUGUAACAAUGUCUGGUCAAUUUUACUUAAUUUGUAAUAGUAGGAACUAAAAGGAAAGGGUGGCUAAAGGAGGACAUCUUCGAAGAGAGACACUGCAUAAGAGAGGGGUUGGAUAAGGAACAGAGAGAAUAGGAAGGAACAUGCUAGAAUGAGACAUGUGGUAUAAAGGAAUAUUUGGAGGCUGACGUGGAGGAAAGAAAGUAUUUAGGGAGCUCUGAGAAAUCUGGGGUAAGAAGCAAGGCGGCUGAGAUGACCUGUUAAAAGAACACUAUAGCAUUAAGAAUGCUAAUGUGUAUCCCUAACACUAUAGAUAGUACCCUUGUCACCAUUUAGGUAAUGCCCCACCCACGAGGAUUAUCCGUUAACGUGGCAGACGCUGCUCUGUCUGCGGCUCGUCUUGCCUUCUUGGCAGAGAUGUGUAUGUGCCAGUCAGAUGGUCUGUGAGAUUAUCUGAUUAAUUAUUGGAGGACAGCAGCCACUAGAGACAGGCUAACCCGGCAAAGAAAACAUUGUCUUUCCUUUAGUAUUGCAAUGUUUUCAGCUGCAGGUUAAAAUGGGGGUGCAUGAUACCCAGACUUCAUUGAGAUGAAGUGGUCUAGGUACUUAUAGUGUUCCUUUAAUUAACCAAAGAAUAUUUAGGUUGACAUGUUGCAGAGUCCACUAGUUUAUUUACCAUAAAGCCGUGUGUAUAAUUGUCUGAUAUUUGUCCAGGGUUUGUGUUCCUGACCCUAUAGUGUUCCUAAACCACACACUCAAAGUGCUUUCAAAUAUUUGUGCACAUCUCACAAGAAUACCAAAAAUGCAUAGAAAACCUACCGGAUUGAUUCAAUAUGAGAGAGAAAACAGAAAGAACCCAUAUAGUGUAAUACUGAUCUUUAAAGGACCACUGUAUGCACCCAGACCACUUCAGCUUAAUGAAGUGGUCUGGGUGCCAGGUCCCUCUAGGAUUAACCCUGAGGGGGCACCCUCAGGGCACUAUAGUGCCAGGAAAACGAGUAUGUUUUCCUGGCACUAUAGUGGUCCUUUAAAUAUGCAAGUGAUGUGUAUAUGAGUUAAACCAUCCACAAACACAGAGCUGGUAGAGACUGAUCAGGCUGUUAAUGCUCCAAUACGCCACCUCAGUAGGGGACAGUGUAGUUAAUUCCUCCUGGACAAGUGAUGGUCAGCAGAAACUGUUCAAUGAUUCUAUUUCACAAAUAAAACUAUUUAAAAAGCAGAUAAAUACCCGGUAUAUCACCCAAGUUCUUUCUAAUAACAGCUGCCCAAUGCGAGCGUUGGCAAACUGGCACUCCGAGGUAUACUACACUUGGAACUCUUGCGGGAGGCGAGUCAAUGACGUCCUGAUUACACAAUGUGUUGCUUUAAUGUGGGUGCUUCCUGACUAAAACAAUAAAUACAUGUAAAUAAAGAGGAACUGUCAAUGUUGAUGUUAUAGUUUAACCCUUUAAGGACGGAGUCAGUAGUACAAGUUGUGAUCAAAACGUAAACAAAACCUGGAACUUGCGCGAAAUGUCUGUUCAACCAGAAUUCAUCUUUUUCAUAUUAAGUGCACCCACACUUAUUAUAUAGCAUUUAAUUCAGGAGAAACAGGG